rnacentral:rRNA from 1 species
ACUCCUACGGGAGGCAGCAGUAAGGAAUAUUGGACAAUGGGCGCAAGCCUGAUCCAGCUAUCCCGCGUGCAGGAUGACGGCCCUAUGGGUUGUAAACUGCUUUUAUACAGGAAGAAACGCUUCCAUUUAUGGGAGCCUGACGGUACUGUACGAAUAAGCACCGGCUAACUCCGUGCCAGCAGCCGCGGUAAUACGGAGGGUGCAAGCGUUAUCCGGAAUCACUGGGUUUAAAGGGUGCGUAGGCGGUUACAUAAGUCCGAUGUUAAAGCGUAGGGCUCAACCCUAUAAGGCAGUUGGAUACUGUGAAACUAGACUUCUGGAGAGGUAAGUGGAAUUACCAGAGUAGCGGUGAAAUGCGUAGAUACUGGUAGGAACACCCAUAGCGAAGGCAGCUUACUGGACAGAGAGUGACGCUGAGGCGCGAAAGUGUGGGGAGCAAACCGGAUUAGAUACCCU